GGGAGGAAGAAUGGAACCUGCACAAAAAACAUAAUUCUAGAAUUAUUUCCCAACAUAAGAAAACAACAAAGUCUUCCAUUCAGAAGAACUACAUCUUGAAGGUCGAGUUAGAGUGAACAAAAUAUACCGGAGAACCAAGUACAUAUUCUAGCCUGAGAAAAUGGAAUAUAUUAGGCAUGGAAGCAGAAGGAAGCCUGGCUCAUCUUAGAAAUGACACUUAACUUGCAAG
rnacentral:lncRNA from 1 species